CCACGCCUCCUUCACUGAGACUAACCGAGAGAGCCCAUGCCACCUUCACUGAAAAUAACAGAUAGAGGCCACGCCUCCUUCACUGAGACUAACCGAGAGAGCCCAUGCCACCUUCACUGAAAAUAACAGAUAGAGGCCACGCCUCCUUCGCUGAGACUAACCGAUACAGAGGCCACGCCUCCUUCACUGAGACUAACCGAUUGAGCCCAUGCCACCUUCACUGAAAAUAACAGAUAGAGGCCACGCCUCCUUCACUGAGACUAACCAAUACAGAGGCCACGCCUCCUUUACUCAGACUAACCGAUUCAGAGGCCACGCCUCCUUCACUGAGACUAACCAAAACGGAGGCCACGCCUCCUUCGCUGAGACUAACUGAUACAGAGGCCACAACAAAAGUCAGAUGUUAUUUAAACGCAUUUUAACUACAAAUUAUGCUAAUUUAAUAAUGUCACGUUUUAUUCAACGUCCACAGUAUGACUGAAGUGACUGAAUAACAUCUUGAUCUUUA
ensembl:lncRNA